UGGUGCCAGCAGCCGCGGUAAUUCCAGCUCCAAUAGCGUAUAUUAAAGUUGUUGCAGUUAAGAAGCUCGUAGUUGAAUUUCUGCCUUAUCAUUAAUUUCGCUUCCGAACGUAAUUUUAUUGAUUUGGCAUCUUCUGGAUUAUAUAUUAUUUUUAAUAUAUUUUUCCAGUAUUUUACUUUGAGAAAACUAGAGUGUUUCAAACAGGCUUUUGCCUUGAAUACUACAGCAUGGAAUAAUGAAGUAGGACUAUUGGUUCUAUUUUGUUGGUUAUCGAACCAUAGUAAUGGUUAAUAGGAGCAGUUGGGGGCAUUCGUAUUUAACUGUCAGAGGUGAAAUUCUUAGAUUUGUUAAAGACGAACUACUGCGAAAGCAUUUGCCAAGGAUGUUUUCAUUAAUCAAGAACGAAAGUUAGGGGAUCGAAGACGAUCAGAUACCGUCGUAGUCCUAACC
rnacentral:rRNA from 1 species